CGGGGAGGUCUAGCCGAGUAGCCGUAGCCGAGGAGCUGAGCCGACGGGGAGCCGGGGCCGCAGGUCGAGUGGCUGCCAGUGAGAGGAGGAGGAGCCGGAGAGGGGACGUGGAGCCAGGGCCCCACCACGUGUCCGGCUGUUCGCGUGGGCCCCCGGCGGACCUUCCGUGCCACGGCCCUGGACUGCGUGACCCUGGCCGGAUCUUCUGCGGCGAACAGGAUUAUGCAGAUGGAUACGGGGCGUUGGCGUGCAUCCACACUACUCCUGCUGGUAUACCCCUCAUCAUCCAGUACGCAUAUUCGGAAGACCAAUCC
rnacentral:lncRNA from 1 species